rnacentral:tRNA from 1 species
GGAGUCGUCGCAUAGCCCGGUCGAGUGCGCCUCACUGCUAAUGAGGUAAGGAUCUAAAGUCCUUCGGAGGUUCAAAUCCUCUCGACUCCG